UGGAAUUCGACAUCAACUGUUUUCACACCAUCGAACGAAUCGACUCAUCCCAAUCUCCUGCAUCUCUUCCUUCCUGCUCCAGUGCUCCAUUUUCGGUAGCCUUCCUCAUCUUUCAACGAGAUUCUUCAAUCAAACAAAACCACCGCCAACUCUGUAAAUUGCUUUUCCACCUGUUCACCCAAAUUCGAUGUAACACGCGAGAACCGCGACGUACCACCACUCCAUCCUCGCAUUUUCCAUAACCCUCUAUACGGAAGGGUUCCAAGGAUUGAAAAAAUUAUGGGUUCUUGGAGGAUUGGAGUGAGUGAAUCUUCCCCUCCGCCUCUUCGCCUCAUCUGGCAAAACAUCGUCCCAUUUAGCACUGUUGCUCGCAAUUAACAGAAAAAUAUUCGAAACCUAAAACCCUCAAACCAGCAAAGCGAAUUCCCACACUUAAAAUUCGAACCCAACAAAUCGAUUUCAAGUGCUAAGCGGCUAGGUUCUAGGUCUGCUAAUUCCGGCGAGCUGUUUUCGUACGAAUGCCGGCAAACCGUACCGUGUCGUCGUCUUGCCUUCGUCUUUCAGUUUCGAAAUUCCAAUUUAAGCGGUCGAUGAAAGCAGAGUGGGUAAGAUCAGUUGCUCUGCAGCCUCACCCUCCAAACGCUACCCCAUCACUUUGCUUCUCGGCGAUGGUAUUGGCCUCAACCUCGCCCCCUCCAUCGAUGGUUUCUUUUAAUUCUGCUUCCGUUUUCUGAAUUUUAUUUCAGGUGCCUGAGAAACGGUGGGAAAAUUAAAAGGAAAAGUCUUUUAAUUUUCCCAUAUUUUCUUUGGGUUAAUGUUUAACAAUUUGAGCUGCUCUGUGUGUUGUAUAAUCGAGAAAUUUUGUUGGGAAAUUAGUAAUUAUAUAACAUUUGGAUAUUUGUAUAACUGAAUAUGUUCACAUAAACUAGAGAUUGAUUUUAAGUAUGAAGAAGUACCUAUUGGCUUAGAUUUGACUGGAGUGCCAUUACCUGAUGAGACCCUUUUGUCAGCUAAGCAAUCGACGCAAUUAUUCUUCUCGAAGCAGUUGGGGGUAGAAUUUGAAAUUUGUUGAGGGGGCCUAAUGUUACCAUUGAUGAAGUCUGCGCUUUUGGAAGGUAAGUAGUGAUAUUUAAUUAUUGUUUAUUGCAUUUUGUCAAAUUUUAUGGGAAAUUUUCUGAAUUAGGUGUGUGCUUGAUCCGAAAAAGUCUCAGAACAUUGCAAUUCUUGCUUAUUGCAUUGUGUCCAAUUUGGAAGGUAAGUUGUGAUUCUGUAAGGAUGUAUUGAAGGACCAUUUGUUUAGUUCGUUAGUGGAAUUUCGUUAUUUAUGUAUUUCCGAUAUACUUGGUACAUUGAUAAUUAAGGUUUAAAUGUCAUAAGGUUCCCUUGGUUUA